rnacentral:rRNA from 1 species
AGAGUUUGAUCCUGGCUCAGGAUGAACGCUGGCGGCGUGCCUAACACAUGCAAGUCGAACGAAGCUUGACGGAUGAUUUCUUCGGAAUGAAACCAGAUAUGACUUAGUGGCGGACGGGUGAGUAACACGUGAGCAACCUGCCUUUCAGAGGGGGAUAACGGCUGGAAACGGUCGCUAAUACCGCAUGAUGUGUUCGGAUGGCAUCAUCUGAACAUCAAAGAUUUAUCGCUGAAAGAUGGGCUCGCGUCUGAUUAGAUAGUUGGUGGGGUAACGGCCUACCAAGUCUGCGAUCAGUAGCCGGACUGAGAGGUUGAACGGCCACAUUGGGACUGAGAUACGGCCCAGACUCCUACGGGAGGCAGCAGUGGGGAAUAUUGCACAAUGGGGGAAACCCUGAUGCAGCAACGCCGCGUGAAGGAUGACGGUUUUCGGAUUGUAAACUUCUUUUCUUAGUGACGAAGACAGUGACGGUAGCUAAGGAAUAAGCAUCGGCUAACUACGUGCCAGCAGCCGCGGUAAUACGUAGGAUGCAAGCGUUAUCCGGAUUUACUGGGUGUAAAGGGAGCGCAGGCGGGACUGCAAGUUGGAUGUGAAAUACCGUGGCUUAACCACGGAACUGCAUCCAAAACUGUAGUUCUUGAGUGAAGUAGAGGCAAGCGGAAUUCCGAGUGUAGCGGUGAAAUGCGUAGAUAUUCGGAGGAACACCAGUGGCGAAGGCGGCUUGCUGGGCUUUAACUGACGCUGAGGCUCGAAAGUGUGGGGAGCAAACAGGAUUAGAUACCCUGGUAGUCCACACUGUAAACGAUGAUAGCUAGGUGUGGGGGGUCUGACCCCUUCCGUGCCGGAGUUAACGCAAUAAGCUAUCCACCUGGGGAGUACGACCGCAAGGUUGAAACUCAAAGGAAUUGACGGGGGCCCGCACAAGCAGUGGAUUAUGUGGUUUAAUUCGAAGCAACGCGAAGAACCUUACCAGGUCUUGACAUCCGAUGCAUAACACAGAGAUGUGUGAAAUCCUUCGGGACAUCGAGACAGGUGGUGCAUGGUUGUCGUCAGCUCGUGUCGUGAGAUGUUGGGUUAAGU